UUCGCUUGAAAUUUGCAGACAUUACAAGCAGAGCUCAACUUUUUCUACCGCUCCUCUAGCAGGGUUCUCGCCGCUCACCUUCCAACAAACCUCCACACAUUUUUCUGCGUGCCCUCCUUAAAAAUGAAUGAGGGCGAAACUUCUGCCGAAUUCGUUGUUGGUGAAAACCUACUGUUAAGUACAUGUACAUUAGUAUGCGGUAAAUUGUGGCUCGCUUGUGGGUGUGCCAUAUAGCAGCACGUUCGAUUGUGUAUCCAGAAUGAAUUAUAGCAAGUAUGUAUGAAUGUCUGGUUAUUAAAUGGAUAAAUAGUUUAAUCCAUUCUCCAUUUCAUGAAUUUAUUCACAGGUAUAUAGUAAUAUGCUCUAAACCUUUUUGUGACAAACAAACUAUGCUGCCCUGUUUCCAAAUGUCCACAUGGCUGGGAGAACCUAUUCAAGUGCUGUAGCUAGAGAACAGCCAUGGAGGAGGGUGAAAGGAUAGCAGACCCAACUCUCAAAGUGAGAGAGUAGGCUAUUCUGGAUUGGAUACUGAGAGCUGUGAAAGCCUGUCUGCAGAUGAAGAGGUACCAAUGAAGAGCAGUGGUUCGCAGAUCUGGUCGUGGAGACUCAAAGGCAUG